UACGGAGGGUGCAAGCGUUAAUCGGAAUUACUGGGCGUAAAGCGUGCGCAGGCGGUUUGUUAAGUCUGUUGUGAAAUCCCCGAGCUCAACUUGGGAAUUGCAAUGGAUACUGGCAGGCUAGAGUAUGGUAGAGGAAGGUGGAAUUCCCGGUGUAGCAGUGAAAUGCGUAGAGAUCGGGAGGAACACCAGUGGCGAAGGCGGCCAUCUGGGACAAUACUGACGCUGAAGCACGAAAGCGUGGGGAGCAAACAGG
rnacentral:rRNA from 1 species